GUCCGCCGGGUUGGACCCUUUCGGCGCCUGUUGUCCCCCUCCUCAUGUGCUGAGUGUUGAGCGCGAUGUUUGUUACGUUGUUACGUUGCUUUCAGUGGAUCAGUAUGUGAGCUGGAUACAAUUGAACGCGAAUUUCGUGUAGUGGGUUUUAAGGUGACUUUAUCGUUGGAUAAUACACAAGAAUUGUUACUAUGCAUCGGACUUCAAGUAUGCCACAGGUUGAUGUUGAAUCUUAAUAAUAUGCAAAAUAUUCAUCUCCUUGACUGACGUCACCCUGAGGAAGUGUUUGCAAGAAGCUCCAAGAGCACAGGGACCUCGCUUCAGCUCCAGUUCAGUAUCAGAAGACUGGCUUUGCUACAGAUUUCAAAAAGCCUGAAGAUAAUGUGACUUGCCUUCCGUAGUCCCUCACAAACUUCACAGAAGACACUGAUGAAUUGUGAAGUUGUCUGAGUACGUGUAAUGUCGUCCGCAGAAGACAUAACACCGGCAGAUGUUUCUCCAGCAUGGCACCAUGGGAGGAUGAUCAGUCACCAUCAUUAUCAGAAGAGGAUAUAUCACAUAUUUUACUUCGGAAAGCACUCAAAAUAAGAACGUUCAGUGAUACGGGAGGACCAAGGAAGAACAUCGACUUCCAAGUGGCUGUGCUGUGUGUAACUUUUCUGAAAUACAUUCUUUUCAGCUUAACUCUAUGUUCGUUGUCAUGCCUUAAGAGAGAUAUUUUGUGGGAAACCUCCCGCAUCAGACCUGUAGCAAGGAGACUAAGUUUCAUCGGUGGUUGCUUCUGUAACAGGGUGCCGCAGAGGAGUAAGAGGAGUAAAGGCAAAGGACAUUCCAACUCUAUUGAACUUUUAUCACUACUGUUUUUUAUAAGGGAAUAUUUACUCUUUACUAGCAGUGCCGUAGGCAUCGAAUUGAUUCUAAUAUUUUUCAGGGCGAAAGACUAUAUAAAAACGACACAAAUUACAAACAAGCAGUUUUCCUUUCACCCCAUUUCGGAACCUCCCUUGUUGAUGUUGAAUCAACAUUUAACAGUUCUUAAAUAUCUUCGCCAUUCUUUCCUUCUCUUUGAAAAUAAAUUUCCAUUUUGGUGCAUGUCUCUUGAGCCAGGGGUUUCGAGACUUGAACGUGAAAUCUUUACUUCCGGUGCUACAAAUUGGCUCUCGGUAAGCCACAUUGCAACAAUCAGUACACGAAAAAAAUUGCAAAAAUACAAGCUGAGUACUGUGUCGGUUUCCCUGUAUUUAAUUAGUUUCUUUUCCUCACUGUGGCUCGGUUUUAUCGUCGAUAGUGGCUCCAGAAAGUGGUGGGUAGAAAAACGAUGUUCGGUAAACCUAGGUACAAUCUGUAAAUAUUCAUCUUCAGCCUAUGAAGGUGAUGUAUCUUGCGGACAAUAUAUGUACAACAAUAACAGAGAUAGAAGAUAUAGUUUGGCCAACACUACGGAACUGGUUGCGUCCAUAUUGUUCGUUAUAUCUUUCUGCACCUCAUUGCUAUUAUGGAAAGAAAACGAUCAACACGAAGAUACGGAUCCAGUCGAUACCGCAAGAAAUCAUGGGGACAGAAAUGUAAGGACUAUUUUCGCGAGUUUAUUGCGUUUAUGUUUAGUAAUGUGGGCAUAAUUGGCCUCGUCGUUGGGUAUACCAUUGCAGGCGCAUUUGUGUUCAGAGCUAUCGAGGGAGGCGACAUCCCGCAUGUAAGCGCUAUAGUGGAGUUACGGAACAAGACUGCACUCAAACUGUGGGAUUUAUCGUGCUGUGGCCUCAACGUGUUUUCUGAGGAGAACUGGAGGGAAAAUGUGUCAACAGAGCUGCGGGAAUACCAGGAGCUGAUUGUGCUGGCUAUCCAGGAUGGCUAUGACGGAACUGACUACGUGAAUCAGACCCACAAGUGGCCCUUCUCAGGUGCUUUCCUCUACUCCCUCACAGUUAUCACCACAAUCGGUUAUGGAAACCUGGCUCCUCAGUCUGAAGUAGGCAAGGUGAUCACAAUCAUCUACGCUAUCAUCGGCAUGCCUCUGUUUCUGCUGUACCUCUCCAACAUUGGAGAUAUCUUUGCCAAGAGCUUCAAGUGGACAUACGCCAAAUGUUGUUUAUGUCAGGGCUGUUGCGAGGGCGCGUCGCGACGCCGUUCUGCUCGCCGCCAGCAGAUGGCGCUUGAACAUCCAGCGUCAGUUGGCGCUUUCUUGGGAAAUGACGAGUGGAGGGUGCAAUACAUGGUUGGCGCUGAUGACGUGGACAGCGGACAGGUUGCAGUACGCAUCGAACGCGGCGCUGGCGAGAACGAGGCGACUGACAGCGCUAGCAGCGGGGAAAGUGAACCAUACGACCCUCAGUCUGUCACGGUGCCCAUUACCCUCUGUCUCGCGAUCAUGGUGGGGUACAUCUGUUUCGGUGCUGUCCUGUUCUCCGAAUGGGAAGGCUGGAACUUCCUGGACAGUUCGUACUUCUGCUUCAUCAGCCUCAGCACCAUUGGGUUUGGAGAUAUCGUCCCGGGAGAACGAGUUAUCAAGAGCCAGGAGAUCGAGCUAAGCUUCAUCUUCUGCUCCAUGUAUUUGAUGUUCGGCAUGGCGCUCAUAGCGAUGUGCUUCAACCUAAUGCAGGAGGAAGUGGUCCACAAGAUGCGAAGCUGCAUGCGGUCCCUCAAGUUCAUUUUCAGCUGCAAGCGAAGGGAAAGAAGGGACGAUGAGGACGAUGUCUCCGGGAUCAGAUGACAGUGUCUUCUUCUUGAGAUUCACAGAAGUCGCCUCCCGGACACACUCUACAAGCUGUACCCCUCAAGCCAACCUCUUCAGUGCCGGGCAUUUGGCAUGCCAUUAUAUCAUCAAAUGGUAUGAAACUUUGUCAACGUUAGGCGGGUCCUUGUCACCACGGCAUGGCGCGUCUUCGGGCUGCGGAUGGAGGAGAUGCCCUUCAGGUCCUGGUUUACUGUCGGUUCUAGCAGGUUCCUGAAAACGUGCAAAGGAGAGGAAAAAGACGAGACAUUCCCCUUUCAACAUGAAGAGGCGGUGUGUGAUGAUAGAGGAAUAGGUGACAAGGGAUGAGGAAGAGUGAAGCUAAAUUACAGGAGAGUGAAGGAAGGGAUGGAAUUGGAAUGGAUGAUUACAAGGCAGCAGCGUUUCCUACUCUUCCAAGGAAAAACCUCAUUUCCAAGAAAACAAAUCUACACAAAAAUUCUCUUCUCGUAUUCAAAGUGGAGCAUCAGAAGAUAGUAACGAUGGCCUGGAUUCAUAUAGCAGCGCAAAUAUACAGACUUGUCGGCAUUACUGGGUACAAGUCUGCUAUUAUUCUCCAUGAAAAGUGGAACUGUUCUUAUUCAACUUGUAGGAAACUUAAAUUUUGUUUUGUAAAGAACUCGCCCCUAACAGCAAACCUUAAUCCAGUAGAAGAGUUCUAUCUUGUGGAAUAUAACGCAAUGUACUUCGCUGGAAGUUAACCCACGUUUUCAAUGAACAUAUCACCUCCGUCUUCAAGGUUAAAGGUAACCCAAACUGGCGUGAAGUUGGUACGAAACAGAGCUUUCUUGCAACCUGCUUCAGGCUAGUUUCCUUCGUCGAUUAUUCUUCGACCCUGAAGAUGAAGGCGAUAUACUCCUCAGAAACAUCGGUGGGCAUUCCUCAUGGUGUAAUUCCUCAUACAUUAAAAAAAUCUUCCAUUUCUUCUUUCCUGACAACGUUUCAAAAAUGUAAAGACAACUCUAGAGGAAGGCAAAGAACGAAGAAUUAUAUUUUACCUAGAAUUACUUUGGUACCAUUGAAAUAUAAUGAAAAUACACAUAGUAGACUUCCAUAUUUGCUCUUGGUUUUAAUUCCCUAUCCAGUAGUGGUAAUUCCACGACACUUUCAAAAUGGUCACUCAGUCAGGAGGCUGCAACAGAGGAGAAGAGUAAUAAUCAAAUGGUCCCGGGCACAGCAGUCGAAUUCAUGGGAGAUUGUAUGGUCGUAACAAAGGAAAGCUUAACAACGGGUGGAAAAUUCAAAGGCGGAGACAAACGCCUUUAACCAGUUCGUUUUGGUUUGCAAAGCGAACGUAAGAUGUGCAGAAGUACAAGAGCAGAUCAGCGUACCCGGGAUAACCAAAGAAUCAAUGCUGAUAAUUGUGAAGCCAAACUCAGUACCAGUAUCACAAGGAAACUGUAAAACUCGUGCAAGCCCCAACUACAGACCUCUUUUACUCGUGUAAUCUGGAAACUCUGACCGUUGAAGCACAUACGCGAAAGGGAGGCCACUUACUUAGACAAACAUA